AACGAACGCUGGCGGCAUGCCUAACACAUGCAAGUCGAACGAGAUCUUCGGGUGUAGUGUCGCACGGGUGCGUAACGCGUGGGAAUCUGCCAUUUGGUUCGGAAUAACAGUUGGAAACGACUGCUAAUACCGGAUGAUGACGAAAAUCCAAAUAUUUAUCGUCGGAAGGUGGGCCCGCGUAGGAUUAGCUAGUUAGUGUGGUAAAGGCGCACCAAGGCGUCGAUCCUUAGGUGGUCUGAGAGGAUGAUCAUCCACACUGGGACUGAGACACGGCCCAGACUCCUACGGGAGGCAGCAGUGGGGAAUAUUGGACAAUGGGCGAAAUCCUGAUCCAGCAAUGCCGCGUGAGUGAUGAAGGCCUUAGGGUUGUAAAGCUCUUUUCCCCGGGAUGAUAAUGACAGUACCGGGAGAAUAAGCUCCGGCUAACUCCGUGCCAGCCGCCGCAGUAA
rnacentral:rRNA from 1 species